rnacentral:rRNA from 1 species
UGGGCAACCUGCCCUCAGCUCUGGGAUAACUCCGGGAAACCGGGGCUAAUACCGGAUACGACCUUCCCUGGCAUCGGGGUUGGUGGAAAGUUCUUCGGCUGAGGAUGGGCCCGCGGCCUAUCAGCUUGUUGGUGGGGUGAUGGCCUACCAAGGCGACGACGGGUAGCCGGCCUGAGAGGGCGACCGGCCACACGUGGGACUGAGACACGGCCCAGACCUCCGUACGGGGAG